rnacentral:misc_RNA from 1 species
AAAUGCGAUAAGUAAUGUGCAUUGCAGAAUUCAGUGAAUCAUCGAAUCUUUGAACGCACAUUGCGCCCGCCAGUAUUCUGGCGGGCAUGCCUGUCCGAGCGUCAUUUCAACCAUCAAGCCCCCGGGCUUGUGUUGGGGACCUGCGGCUGCCCGCAGGCCCUGAAAACCAGUGGCGGGCUCGCUGUCACACCGAGCGUAGUAGCAAUCACCUCGCUCAGGGCGUGCUGCGGGUUCCGGCCGUUAAACAGCCUUACAAAACCCAAGGUUGACCUCGGAUCAGGUAGGAAAACCCGCUGAACUUAAGC